rnacentral:rRNA from 1 species
UUGCUCUUCAACGAGGAAUUCCUAGUAAGCGCGAGUCAUCAGCUCGCGUUGACUACGUCCCUGCCCUUUGUACACACCGCCCGUCGCUCCUACCGAUUGAAUGGUCCGGUGAAGUGUUCGGAUCGUGGCGACGUGGGCGGUUCGCUGCCUGCGACGUCGCGAGAAGUCCACUGAACCUUAUCAUUUAGAGGAAGGAGAAGUCGUAACAAGGUUUCCGUAGGUGAACCUGCGGAAGGAUCAUUGUCGAUGCCUAAACAUCAAACGACCCGUGAACGUGUUUUCAAACCUUUUGUGUCGGGGGGAGCAUUCGUGCCCCCUUUGAUGCCUAAACCAAAACCGGCGCAAGUCGCGCCAAGGAGCUCAAACGAAUAAGCUUGCCCCUUGCCCCGGUCUCGGUGUGCGGGGGGCAAAGCAUUCUUGUCGUAUUAUUCACAACGACUCUCGGCAACGGAUAUCUCGGCUCUCGCAUCGAUGAAGAACGUAGCGAAAUGCGAUACUUGGUGUGAAUUGCAGGAUCCCGCGAACCACCGAGUCUUUGAACGCAAGUUGCGCCCGGAGCCUUCUGGCCGAGGGCACGUCUGCCUGGGCGUCACGCAUCGCUGCCCCCACAUACAACACCCACUUAGGUCUGUUGCAUUGGCGGGGGCACAUGUUGGCCUCCCGUGCGCACUGUCGCACGGAUGGCUUAAAAUUGAGUCCUCGGCAUCUGUUGUCGUGACACUACGGUGGUUGAUUCAACCUCGGUACCGUGUCUCGAUCUCAGCUUGCGUGCCUCCUCUUUGUGAGUGAGGGAGGAAUCUUAUGUUGACCCUUUGAACAUUGUCCCCAAAGAUGAUGCUCUCGACGCGACCCCAGGUCAGGCGGGACUACCCGCUGAGUUUAAGCAUAUCAAUAAGCGGAGGA